rnacentral:rRNA from 1 species
GAUGAACGCUAGCGGGAGGCUUAACACAUGCAAGUCGAGGGGCAGCAUAGGGUAGCAAUACUCUGAUGGCGACCGGCAAACGGGUGAGUAACGCGUAUGCAACCUACCCUGUACAGGGGGAUAACCCGGAGAAAUUCGGACUAAUAUACCCGUAAUAAUAUCCGGAGGCAUCUUUGGAUAUUUAAAGUUCCGACGGUACGGGAUGGGCAUGCGUAACAUUAGCUGGUUGGUAAGGUAACGGCUUACCAAGGCUAUGAUGUUUAGGGGUCCUGAGAGGGUGGUCCCCCACACUGGUACUGAGACACGGACCAGACUCCUACGGGAGGCAGCAGUGAGGAAUAUUGGUCAAUGGGCGCAAGCCUGAACCAGCCAUCCCGCGUGCAGGAAGACGGCCCUAUGGGUUGUAAACUGCUUUUCCAGGGAGAGAAACUUACGCACGUGUUGCGUGACUGACGGUACCCUGGGAAUAAGCAUCGGCUAACUCCGUGCCAGCAGCCGCGUAAACA